GCAGUUGAAUGGUCCGUCGUGGAUAGUCUUUUUUAGACUAGACGAGGAAAGUCCGGGCAGCAUAGGGUGCUCCGCUUCUUAAUGGGAAGUUGUCUGCGAAGGCGAAUAAACGUAGAAGAAAAUAACUGCCUCCUUCGGAGGUAAGGGUGAGAAGGUGAGGUAAGAGCUCACCAGCAAUGUGGUGACAUGUUGGCUGUGCGUAUCGGAGGCUGAAAGUUCGCGUAAACUGGCGCUUGAGGGCGACCCGCUCGAGCCAGAGGGUAGAACGAUAGAGCCUAUUGGUGACAAUAGGCCAGGAUAAAUGACGGGCACAUUCUUUGGAAUGGACAGAACCCGGCUUAUAGUUUAACUGCUUUU
rfam:Prevotella sp. oral taxon 302 str. F0323 genomic scaffold supercont1.1, whole genome shotgun sequence.